GGUGAGAAAUGAUGUUGGAAUGGCUCAAUCAAGCGAAAUCUCCCAAGAGUAAUGCUGGGUCCUUUAUUUUGAUUGAGCCGCGCCAAUAUCAUGUCACGCUUC
rnacentral:pre_miRNA from 1 species